GAAUAAUCCCUACCUUGGCUUCAUCUAUACUUCAUUCCAAGAAAGAGCGACCUUCAUCUCUCAUGGAAACACAGCCCGCCAAGCCAAAGAGCAUGGGGAUAUGAAAUUAGCCCAAAUAUGUGGGACAAUAGCUGCAGACGAGAAGCGUCACGAAACUGCUUACACCAAGAUAGUUGAAAAGCUCUUUGAGAUUGAUCCUGAUGGUACUGUCAUGGCUUUUGCAGACAUGAUGAGAAAGAAAAUCUCAAUGCCUGCUCACUUGAUGUAUGAUGGGCGCAACGACAACCUCUUUGACAACUUCUCUUCCGUGGCUCAGAGGCUCGGUGUUUACACCGCCAAAGACUAUGCCGACAUUCU
rnacentral:lncRNA from 1 species